GGGGAUGAGCUGUGGGUAGGGGUGAAAGGCCAAUCAAACUCCGUGAUAGCUGGUUCUCCCCGAAAUGCAUUUAGGUGCAGCGUCGUAUUAUAGCUUGGUGGAGGUAGAGCGACUGGUUGGUUGAGCGGGACUACAAUCUUAGCAAUGUCAGCCAAACUCCGAAUGCCACUAAUUGUGUUGUACGGCAGUGAGACUGUGGGGGAUAAGCUUCAUAGUCGAGAGGGAAACAGCCCAGAUCGCCGGUUAAGGCCCCUAAGGGUGUACUAAGUGGAAAAGGAUGUGGGAUCGCGAAGACAGCCAGGAGGUUGGCUUAGAAGCAGCCAUCCUUGAAAGAGUGCGUAAUAGCUCACUGGUCGAGUGGUUCUGCGCCGACAAUGUAGUGGGGCUCAAGUACACCGCCGAAGCCGCGGCAACAAUUUUUUUGUUGGGUAGGGGAGCGUCGUGCAUGGGUUGAAGCGUUACCGUAAGGAGGCGUGGACUGUGUGCGAGUGAGAAUGCAGGCAUGAGUAACGAAUUGAUAGGUGAGAAUCCUAUCCGCCGGAUGACUAAGGGUUCCUGGGUCAAGUUCGUCUUCCCAGGGUGAGUCGGGACCUAAGGCGAGGCCGACAGGCGUAGUCGAUGGAUAACCAGUUGAUAUUCUGGUACCCGUACAUGCGCGCCCAUGAUAAAGCACUGAUACUAACCACCGCGGAUGCAUUGCUGGUCUUCUUUGAAGUCUGGUGGUGUUGAUGUCGUGGGGCCUGAUGUGUGGUUCAAGUGAUGGGGUGACGCAGUGAGGUAGCCACGCCACUUAUUGGAUUGGUGGUGUAAGCGUGUAAGCCGUGUGGUAGGUAAAUCCGCCGCAUUUUUGGUUGAGACGUGAUGCGUAGACCCAAUGGGGUUGAUGGUGGUGAUCCUGUACUGUCGAGAAAAGCCUCUAGCGAUGUGUGUGUAUGGCCCGUACCCUAAACCGACACAGGUAGUCAGGUUGAAAAUACUAAGGCGUUCGGGUGAACUGUGGUUAAGGAAUUCGGCAAAAUGCCCCCGUAACUUCGGGAGAAGGGGGGCCCCACGGUGUGAAGGUCUUUGCGGCUGGAAGCGUUGUGGGGUCGCAGAGAAUAGAGGGAAGCGACUGUUUAUCAAAAACACAGGUCCAUGCGAAGACGUUAAGUUGAUGUAUAUGGACUGACGCCUGCCCGGUGCUGGAAGGUUAAGAGGACCGGUUAGUCAACGUUGUUGGCGAAGCUGAGAAUUUAAGCCCCAGUAAACGGCGGUGGUAACUAUAACCAUCCUAAGGUAGCGAAAUUCCUUGUCGGGUAAGUUCCGACCUGCACGAAUGGCGUAACGACUUCUCUGCUGUCUCAACCACAGGCCCGGUGAAAUUGCACUACGAGUAAAGAUGCUCGUUACGCGCGGCAGGACGAAAAGACCCCAGGG
rnacentral:rRNA from 1 species